UGUUACUUAUAAGGAAAAAACUUUGGAAUAAUAGUAGUUUAUGAAAUUUAACGGAUUUGGCGGCAAGAUAGCCAUUUAGAGGAACCUGCCCUGUAAACGAUGAGCCACGAAGACCUUACUUUUGUUAGUUAUUCAGUUUGUAUACCGCUGUUGUCAGUUAGUUUCUUUAGAAAACUCUCGUGUAUGAUAUAAUCAUUGACUUCAAGUAAAGGUGCAGCUAAUGCAAAAGAUAGAGGUGGGUUACAUUUAAAAGAAUAAAACGGAUAAAGUUUAUGAAAAAUCUUUUGAAGGUGGAUUUAAUUGUAAAGUUCAAUAAAACUUGAUGGGAGCUCUGUCUUGUG
rnacentral:rRNA from 1 species